rnacentral:rRNA from 1 species
GUCUUGUUUUAUUUUUGUGUUGUUGAUUUUUAUGUUUUAUUGAAAAAUCAUUUUGUUGUUGUAUAUUUGUGAUUUAAUUAUUUUUGCUAUAGUUUAUUUGUACUGUAGGGGUAUGAUGUGUUAAUGUAUUUUUAGAAGCUGAUUUUAUUUGUCGUACCUUGUGUAUCAGGGUUCAUUGAAUUUUAUUAUUUAUUUUUGUUUCCCGAUUUUAAAGGAGUUAAUGAUUUAUUUUAGUUAUUGUUUCAAUAUUAUUAAUAAUAGGUCGUUGGUAGUGAAAUGUUAUUCGUCUUUAAUGGUUUCUGGUUUUCCAAGAAAUGAAUUCAAUUCAUGUUCUUUAUUUAAUUUUUAUUGUUUUUAUUAUCAUUUUUUAUUUUGAGCUAAGAUUAAGGGGGAUUAGCUCCUUAUUUUAUUUUUAUAAUCUGUAUAUGUAUUUAGUUUUGUGGAUUUUAUAGUGAUUUUCAAUUUGAUUAUGUUAAAAUUUUAUUUGUUUUUUUGUUUAUUUAUUUUUGUGAUUUAAUUUAUUUAUUGGAAUAUUUUCUUUAGUUUUUGUUUGGUUUGUAAUUAUUGUGUAAUUAGUAAAUUUUGCUUUAUGUUGUUAAUUGUUUGUUAAUUUCUCUUAAGGAACUAGGCAAAGCUUUCAUGUCCGCCUGUUUAACAAAACAUCUUUUCUCGUUAGUUUUUGAAGUAUGGCCUGCCCACUGACUUUGGUUGAAGGGCCGCGGUAUUUUGACCGUGCAAAGGUAGCAUAAUCAUUAGUUCUUUAAUUGUGAUCUGGUAUGAAUGGCUUGACGAGACAUGCACUGUCUUAAGUAUCGAAUGUUUGAUUGAACUUGGUUUUUGAGUUAAAAUUCUUAAAUGUUUUUAUGGGACGAGAAGACCCUAUAGAGUUUAACAUUUAUUUUACUUUCUUUUACUUUGUUUGUUUUAUUUUAUUAAGUAAUUUAGGUGUUUUGUUGGGGUGAUGGGAGGAAUUUAUUUAACUCCUCUUUAUUUUGUAUAUUUAUAUAUAAUUUUUUGAUCCAUUUAUUUUGAUUAUAAGAUUAAAUUACCUUAGGGAUAACAGCGUUAUCUUCCCUGAGAGUUCUUAUUGGCGGGGAGGUUUGCGACCUCGAUGUUGGAUUAAGGUUAAUUUUCGGUGUAGGAGCUGAAAGUGAUUAGGUCUGUUCGACCUUUAAAAUCUUACAUGAUCUGAGUUCAGACCGGCGUGAGCCAGGUUGGUUUCUAUCUAUAAUGUUAUUUAUAUCUUAGUACGAGAGGACCGGGUAUUUGGAAUAAUUUUAUUUUAUAUGAAUUUUAUUAAUAUUGUUGCUAUUUUGGCAGAUAAGUGCAUUGGAUUUAGAAUCUAUUAAUGUAAAGUUUU